GGCAUUAAGAAUCUAAAUGCUAAAAGCAACUCUGCGUUCUUCGAAGAUUCGAACAAGAUUUAAUGAAAAAGAGUGGCAAUACCGCUUGUUUCUGUGUACAUACAUAAAUAUUUGUUGACAUUUUGUUUUGCUGAUACAUACAUAUUUGUUGAUAGUUUUUUCCUGUGUGCCCUUAAAUUAAUAAAUACUGACAAUAAAAAAUGAAGCGAUCGCGAAAUCUUUGGACCGCAGAUGCAGAGGAGGUAUUUGUGAUGUUGUGGCAACAAAAAGUGGAUGACUUGAGGGGGCCCAGAAAAAACAGCCAUGUCUAUCAGGAGAUGGCGGCAGAAAUGCAGAUGCAAGGAUAUGAUGUCAAUUCCUCAUCUGUAAAAAUUAAGAUUGACAAUUUGACGGCAAAAUAUAGGCCAAGGCAGGUAUGGGGACGACUGGAGGCUCACCUGCUUCUUGGCAUUUAUUUGAGCAGGUGCACCAAAUAAUUGGUGGCUUCUCCAUCAAUAACGUGGAAGAGCUGAUAGAAGAGAGUUUUGAAGAUUCGAUGUCAUCAUCCCCGACAAAUAUCUCGCCGCUUUCUCCUUCUCUUCCCCAGCUGUCGCCAUCACCGUCGUGUUCAUCACCACUGCCG